UGGGGAAUAUUGGACAAUGGGCGCAAGCCUGAUCCAGCCAUGCCGCGUGAGUGAUGAAGGCCUUAGGGUUGUAAAGCUCUUUUAGCGGGGAAGAUAAUGACGGUACCCGCAGAAAAAGCCCCGGCUAACUUCGUGCCAGCAGCCGCGGUAAUACGAAGGGGGCUAGCGUUGCUCGGAAUUACUGGGCGUAAAGCGCACGUAGGCGGACUCUUAAGUCGGUGGUGAAAUCCUGGAGCUCAACUCCAGAACUGCCUUCGAUACUGGGAGUCUUGAGUUCGGGAGAGGUGAGUGGAACUGCGAGUGUAGAGGUGAAAUUCGUAGAUAUUCGCAAGAACACCAGUGGCGAAGGCGGCUCACUGGCCCGAUACUGACGCUGAGGUGCGAAAGCGUGGGGAGCAGACA
rnacentral:rRNA from 1 species